GCAGUGGGGAAUAUUGCACAAUGGGGAAACCCUGAUGCAGCCAUGCCGCGUGUGUGAAGAAGGCCUUCGGGUUGUAAAGCACUUUCAGUAGGGAGGAAGGUAGUGUAGUUAACACCUGCAUUAUUUGACGUUACCUACAGAAGAAGCACCGGCUAACUCCGUGCCAGCAGCCGCCGGUAAUUACGGAGGGUGCGAGCGUUAAUCGGAAUUAUGGGCGUAAAGCGCAUGCAGGCGGUCUGUUAAGUCAGAUGUGAAAGCCCGGGGGCUUAACCUCGGAAUUGCAUUUGAAACUGCAGGCUAGAGUCUUGUAGAGGGGGUAGAAUUUCAGGUGUAGCGGUGAAAUGCGUAGAGAUCUGAAGGAAUACAGUGGCGAAGGCGGCCCCCUGGACAAAGACUGACGCUCAGAUUGCGAAAGCGUGGGGAGCAAACAGGAUUAGAUACCCUGGUAGUCCACGCCGUAAACGAUGUCUACUUGGAGGUUGUGGCCUUGAGCCGUGGCUUUCGGAGCUAACGCGUUAAGUAGACCGCCUGGGGAGUACGGUCGCAAGAUUAAAACUCAAAUGAAUUGACGGGGGCCCGCACAAGCGGUGGAGCAUGUGGUUUAAUUCGAUGCAACGCGAAGAACCUUACCUACUCUUGACAUCCAGAGAAGCUUGAAGAGAUUCGAGUGUGCCUUCGGGAACUCUGAGACAGGUGCUGCAUGGCUGUCGUCAGCUCGUGUUGUGAAAUGUUGGGUUAAGUCCCGCAACGAGCGCAACCCUUAUCCUUGUUUGCCAGCACUUCGGGUGGGAACUCCAGGGAGACUGCCGGUGAUAAACCGGAGGAAGGUGGGGACGACGUCAAGUCAUCAUGGCCCUUACGAGUAGGGCUACACACGUGCUACAAUGGCAUAUACAGAGGGCAGCAAGACCGCGAGGUGGAGCGAAUCCCAGAAAGUAUGUCGUAGUCCGGAUCGGAGUCUGCAACUCGACUCCGUGAAGUCGGAAUCGCUAGUAAUCGUGGAUCAGAAUGCCACGGUGAAUACGUUCCCGGGCCUUGUACACACCGCCCGUCACACCAUGGGAGUGGGCUGCACCAGAAGUAGAUAGCUUAACCUUCGGGAGGGCGUUUACCACGGUGUGGUUCAUGACUGGGGUGAAGUCGUAACAAGGUAGCCCUAGGGGAACCUGGGGCUGGAUCACCU
rnacentral:rRNA from 1 species